rnacentral:rRNA from 1 species
UACGUAGGGUGCAAGCGUUUAAUCGGAAUUACUGGGCGUAAAGCGUGCGCAGGCGGCUUUGCAAGACAGAUGUGAAAUCCCCGGGCUCAACCUGGGAACUGCAUUUGUGACUGCAUGGCUAGAGUGCGGCAGAGGGGGAUGGAAUUCCGCGUGUAGCAGUGAAAUGCGUAGAUAUGCGGAGGAACACCGAUGGCGAAGGCAAUCCCCUGGGCCUGCACUGACGCUCAUGCACGAAAGCGUGGGUAGCAAACAGG